rnacentral:lncRNA from 1 species
UGGAAGAGUAGGAGUUUAAUCUAAUUUAGUUGGAGGGUGUCUGUCUGCGGUGUUGUUUUUUGGAGUGUGGGAACAGAGGAGGGGAGCUGCCCCCUUGAAUGGUCCCUUCUGCGCCAGAAGCAGUGGGGAGCCGCGCGACGCCAGCGAUCCAAGGCCCGGCCUUGAAAGAGGAUUAAAGCGAUGCUUGAUUUGCAAUUCACACGAAAGCGCCCCGCGAACCUCUGGUAAUAUUUCAAUCCACAUUUCAAGGGAAGUGGCCUUAAAAUAGCGGCCUAAAUUGUUCUGCCGCGGCCCGGACACUCCUUCAUGCAUUUUAUAACGCAGAGGGCCGAGGGCCUUUUCUCUCUGCACCUCACCACCCCCAUCCACCCAGUAUCUUACAUGUUCUGAAGUGGACUUAAAAACUUGUCCUUAAGUUUGGGGCAGCCUGCACUUCUCUGUGGUAUGGGAUGAGGUGUGUGUGUUUAUGCUUGGAGCAUAUAUGUUUGUGCGUGUUAACUAAAUAUCACUUUGGAUGACUUUCGUGUAUCUCCUAUAAAGGAAAAAAAAAAAAAAAAA